rnacentral:rRNA from 1 species
CCUACGGGUGGCAGCAGUGGGGCAUAUUGCACAAUGGGGGAAACCCUGAUGCAGCGACGCCGCGUGAGUGCAGCCGUAUUUCGGUAUGUAAAGCUCUCUCAGCCGGGAAGCAGCAAGCCGGUACCUGCCUACGACGCCCCUGCUAACUACGUGCCAGCAGCCGAGGUACUUCGCAGGGGGCAGGCGUUAUCCGGAUUUACUGGGUGUAACGGGAGCGUCGACGGUAUGGCAAGUCUGAAGUGAAAGCCCAGGGCUUAACCCUGAGACUGCUUUGGAAACUGUUCGACUAGAGUGCUGGAGAGGUAAGUGGAAUGCCUGGUGUAGCGGUGAAAUGCGUAGAUAUUAGGAGGAACACCAGUGGCGAAGGCGGCUUACUGGACAGUAACUGACGUUGAGGCUCGAAAGCGUGGGGAGCAAACAGGACUAGAUACCCGUGUAGUC